AGAUCAGACUUUGUGUGUAACUCCACUAGCCUACCAGGGUGCCUCUCAUAAAGAUGAAUUUCUUCCUCUGCUGAGUGCUCUAAAGACUCACUCCUUGGCACUCAGGGCCGUGGACAGGAGCUUUUUACUCACCAAUGAAGAACACCAAAUUAACACGACCCCCGUGCUGCCCUGAGGAAGUUGAAGCUCCUCGCUGCUUCUGGCACUUCAGCGGGAAGUUGGUUGGGGCGGGAUCGCGCGCCCUCUGGUGGCGCCAUGGUUCAGCACAGACGCUCUUGCUCACAGUUUCGCGGCGGAUGUGCGCCCCCUCCUGGCUGUCCUGAAAUACCUAUAAAAUUCAAUAUUCAGUUUAUUCAGUGUCAUAAUUUUGGAAAUUCAAACCGAAAUAAAGGCCAGUAUAUCCAUACCCUUCCCAU
ensembl:lncRNA novel transcript